rnacentral:lncRNA from 1 species
AUGGCCGCGGCCAUGCCAGAUUACAAGGACAUUUCUGAUGAUGGCUGCAGUGAUAGUGACAGUGUGACAUGUACCCUUCCCCCCAAAAGAUACCCAGUAGCUCAUCCCCCAUGGGCCUCGUUAGGUGAAGCAGCAGCCUCUUCUGAGAUAAUCCAAGUCCCUGCGGAGGAGCCUAGCAGUCCAGGCAUAGUCUAUCCAACUCAGCCAAUUACCCCUCUUGUCAGAAUCCCUGACAAUCUUAGGAAAACCUUGCGUGGGCAGAGAGCGGAAAGAAAGACUAAGAUUAAUAUAGAAAUGGAAGGGGAAGGCCCACCGCCUCCUAAGAAACCAGUUUUUGAUUCUUCAAUUUCCAGUUCUUCUUCCUUGUUCCUUCACAAAACUGAGGAGACACUAGUCUCCAAAUUUCCUUCUCCAGCAAGAAAUAAGCCAUUCUGUCAGCUUGCUUCUCUAGAGCAGUCUUCCUGCAUGUCUCCUGAGUUUCUGUUUCAGGUUGAGUCAACCAGGCAGGCCUCUCCUUCACCGGACCACAAGCCACUUCUUCCUGAAUCUCCUCGCCCGUUGGGAAAGAAGCCAGAUUAUCAACGUUCUCCUCCAGUAAAAACACCAACCUGCAAGUCUCUGGAUUUGCUGUUUGAGGAUGAGGCUCCCUGCACAUCUUCUAGCCAGGUACAAGGGUCACUACACUCUGAGUCCCCUUCCCUAUUGAGAAAGAACCCAUCUUACGAAUCUUUUCCUACAGCUGAGAUACCAUACCCCAACUCUCUUCAAUCCGUAUUUGCUAAGAAGUCAUCUGGUCUAUCUUCUUCUAGCCAAGCCCAAGGGUCACUCCUCUGUCAAUCCCCUUUGACAAGGCAGGCACCUCAUGAAUUUUCUCCUACACUUCAGAAACCACUCUGCCGCUCUCUGGAUUUACUGUCUCAUGACAAGUCAGAUGGUGAGGCUUCUUCUAACCAGGUACAAGGGUCACUACUCUCUGAGUCUUCUCUAUUGGGAAAGAAGCAAGGCUCUAAGCCUUCUCCUAAAUCAAAGGCACCCCACCACCAGCCUCCUGAGUGCCUGUUUGAUGAUGACUCAGCUAGUGCGUUUUCUUUUGACCUAUUCCAAGGGACAGUACUCUCUGAGUCUUCUCUCGGGGGAAAGAAACCAGGCUCUGAGCUUUCUCCCACAGCACAGACACCACACCAUCCCACUUUUGAUUUCCUGUUUGAUGAUGACGAUGGUGUAUCUUCAUCUAGCCUAGUCCAAGGGACACGCCUCUUUGAGUUUCCUGUGUUGGGAAAAGAGCCAGACUAUGAGUUCUCUCCUCUGGUAAAAACACCACACGACAAGUCUCUGGAUUCACCCUGCGUGUCGUCUAGCCAGGUACAAAGGUCACUAGUCUCCCCUUCCCUGUUGAGAAAGAAGCCAAUUUAUGAACUUUGUCCUACAGUGCCACAAUCAUACAGCCAGAGUCUAGAAUUACUGUUUCAGGGCAAGCCUAUCUGGGAACCACCUCCACCAGUCCAAACACUAGCACCUGACACCACUCCUCCAAUGGGAAAGAAGGCAGCCUCUGAGUUUUGGCCUUCUCCUGUAAAUAAGGCACAACAUUGCAAGUCUUUGGAUCACUUUUUCAAGGACAGUUCAGCCUGUGAGCCUUCCCCUUCCGAGGUCCACAAGGCAGUACUCCCUGCACCUUCUCCAGUGGAAAAGAUGCCAGCUUAUAAACUGUCUCCUGCAGAGCAAAUGCCACCACUUGGCAAUUCUCUUGACUUCCAGUUUGAAGACGAGUCAACCUGUGAUUUUUCUUCCCAGACCCACAAAGCAGAAGUCUUUGACUCUCCUCCUUUAGUAACAAAGAAGCCAUCAUAUGACUUUUCUCCUUCCAUGAUACUGACACUGCCACCCAAAAAGUUGUUUGAUUUCCUGUUCGAUGACCUGUCAGUCUCUGAGCCUUCUUAUCAAGUCCAUGACAGUGAAAUCUCUGCACCUCCUCCUUCAGCAGGAAAGAAGCCAGUUUCUGAGUCUCCUCUCCAGGGACAGGCACGGCCAGCACCCUUAUCUCCAAGUUUCCCAAUAGAGGAUGAGGAAACCCAUGAUUAUAUUUCAGUACCAUACAACAGGUCAGAAGGCUCUGACUCUCCUUCGAUGGGAAAGAAGUCGCUCUUUGCUGCUGCUGCUGCUGCUGCUGCUUCUCCUCCUCCCACCAUGCAGACACCACCAAUCCUGUUGGAUGAAGAGUCAGCUGGAGAGUCUUCUAACCAAGUCCAAGAGACACUACCCUCUGAGGCUCCUCUGUCUGGGAAGAACACAAGCUUUGAACUCCUCCAGUCCUUCAAUUUCCUGGUUGAGGAUGACUCAAGCUCAGAGUCUCGUUUUCCAUUAUUCCGCAGUAUACCAGCCCCUUCUGCACCUCCAGUGGGAAAGCCAGCCCCUGAGUCUACUCAGUACCCUGUGCAAAAGAAGACAUACUUUCUCAACUUACUGUUUGAUGACAGUUCAGACGGCGAAUCUUUUCCCUCAGCAACCUAUGACAUAGUACUCCCUGAGACAGCCUCUACAGUGGGACAGCCAGCCUCUGAGUUUUCCGGUUCCCAGGACCAGGAGAAGCUAAUCUCUGAAUCUUCUUCCGCAGUGGAAAAGCCAGUUGCUAAGUCUUUUAUUUCCCAGGUCCAUUAUCCUUCUGGGGAACAGAGGAUGUCGAGGGGGGCGUCGUUUCAUUCCCAGGUCCCAGAGAAGCAAGUGUUUGAGUUUUCUUCAGCCCUGAUGCCAAAGAUGCCUGCCACUGAAGCUAUUCCUUCCCAGGAGCCAGAUGAUGACGAUGACAGCGACAACCCCGAGGACACCAAGGAUGAAGAAGAUAGCUGUGAGGCCUCCUGAGUGGAAAGAAGCCCGUCUGAAUCAGCUCCUCCCCAGCUGCUGAUGAAGCAAGUCAAGGAAUCUGCCCAAGAAGAAGCAGCAAGUCUAUGAAUCUCUUCCCUCCCUGCAACUUAGUUUAAAUUAAUUCAUUUCAGCAUACAAAAUGUAACUUUUCAGUUAGUCUCAAUUCUGGGAGGAUUGUUUGUCUGUUCCUCCUCAUCCAUGUAUGCAUUUUUCCCCUUUUAGAGAUAUGCUUAGUCGAGAUUUUGUCUGCUCAUCCCCCUUUGUUCGCUUUGCCUUAGUUCGUAACAGGUUUUUCAGAAUUCUUGUUCUUAAUUGCAGUAUCAAAUGAACAUACCACUGGAAAUUUCAGUUCCUUCCCUUUUUUUGGGGGGGGGUGUUUUGCUUUGUUUUGAGUUUUUUUGACAGUCCAGUAAUGCAGCUCUGAAAAUCUCUGAACACAUGGCUCUUUUUUGUUCAUUUAAAACAACAACAACAACAACACCUUUUCAGUGUUUAUUUCUCAGUAAUGGGAUUAUCUAGUCUAAAAGCAUUGGGGGGGGGAAUAAUUUUUUUCUGUCUACCACCAAGUUACUCUCCCAAACAAUUUCCACCUCCAUGACGAUUGUUUGUUCUUCCUUCUAUAUUUUCCGCUUUCAGAGUUGUAGUCAGUCUGUACUGUGUUCUGCUUUUUUUCACUGUGCCCUAUUUCACCAUUUUUUUCAUAUUUCUUUAUAGUUCUCAUACAUAUUCUUACUUGCAUAUUAGUAUCAAAUGAAUAUGCCCCAAUUGAGUCACUCAUUCCCCUUCUCCAUUGGAGAUCACAGUGGCUUCCAGUGUUUUGGUUUUGCAGUCCAAACAAUGCAGCUCUGACAAUGUUUGAACACACGGCUCUUUUUUGUUCCUUUUAAAAAAUCUUUUCAGGGUUUAUUUCCCAAUAAUGGAAUUAUUUGGUCCAAAGGCAUGAGUGGGGAGGAGGGGAGGGUAAUUUUUUCUGCCCACUGCUAAGUUGCUCUCCAAA